UACGUAGGGUGCAAGCGUUAAUCGGAAUUACUGGGCGUAAAGCGUGCGCAGGCGGUUUUGUAAGUCUGUCGUGAAAUCCCCGGGCUCAACCUGGGAAUGGCGAUGGAGACUGCAAGGCUAGAGUUUGGCAGAGGGGGGUAGAAUUCCACGUGUAGCAGUGAAAUGCGUAGAUAUGUGGAGGAACACCGAUGGCGAAGGCACUCCCUGGGUCAAAACUGACGCUCAUGCACGAAAGCGUGGGGAGCAAACAGG
rnacentral:rRNA from 1 species